rnacentral:other from 2 species
AUUUCUCUGAGAUGUUCGCAAGCGGGCCAGUCCCCUGAGCCGAUAUUUCAUACCACAAGAAUGUGGCGCUCCACGGUUGGUGAGCAUGCUCGGUUCGUCCGAGAAGCCUUAAAACUGUGACGACACAUUCACCUUGAACCAAGGGUUCAAGGGUUACAGCCUGCGGCGGCAUCUCGGAGAUUCC